rnacentral:piRNA from 1 species
UGUUUGGAGUUUUCUCUGUUU